CGGCAUUGGUGGAUGAUGAUCAUUUUGUUGGUGUUUCUCAAAGCUAUCAGUGAUUUCCUCUGACGAUCAAGGCUACUAGAGUUGCUGUUCGGAAGAUCAUAAAGUCUAAAUCAUCACUUUAUGGACCCCGACAUUGUGAGGUUCUUAGAUCGAGUUCCUUGGCAAGUUCACUUCAGCAGUCUAAGCUAGCGCUGUGGUUGGUACCAAUUGGUUUUGCUCUUUUUUGGUAAAAGUCUCCUCUGUUCAUGAAGUAUAAUGGAUCUUUAUAUGUAAGGUGUGACUUUUCUACAAUGAAGAAGAUAAUUUUUGUUCAUGAAGUAUAAUGGAUCUUUAUAUGUAAGGUGUGACUUUUCUACAA